UUGGCACCUCGAUGUCGGCUCAUCACAUCCUGGGGCUGAAGUAGGUCCCAAGGGUAUGGCUGUUCGCCAUUUAAAGUGGUACGCGAGCUGGGUUUAGAACGUCGUGAGACAGUUCGGUCCCUAUCUGCCGUGGGCGUUGGAUGAUUGAUUGGGGCUGCUCCUAGUACGAGAGGACCGGAGUGGACGCAUCACUGGUGUUCCAGUUGUCUCGCCAGAGGCAUUGCUGGGUAGCUAAAUGCGGAAGAGAUAAGUGCUGAAAGCAUCUAAGCACGAAACUUGCCAAGAGAUGAGUCAUCCCUGACUUUAAGUCAGUAAGGGUUGUUGUAGACUACGACGUAGAUAGGUUGGGUGUGUAAGUGUAGUGAUACAUUGAGCUAACCAAUACUAAUUGCCCGAGAGGCUUAACCAUACAACGCUCAAG
rnacentral:rRNA from 1 species